rnacentral:rRNA from 1 species
AAGCUUUCAACAAUGGAUCUCUUGGUUCCGGCAUCGAUGAAGAACGCAGCGAAAUGCGAUAAUUAAUGUGAAUUGCAGAAUUCAGUGAAUCAUCGAGUCUUUGAACGCACAUUGCACCCCCUGGUAUUCCGGGGGGUAUGCCUGUCCGAGCGUCAU